AGAGUUUGAUCAUGGCUCAGAAUCAACGCUGGCGGCGUGCCUAACACAUGCAAGUCGAACGCGGUUAGUAGCAAUACUAACUGAGUGGCGAACGGGUGAGUAACGCGUGGGUGACCUACCUUUCGAGUGGGGGAUAACGUCCCGAAAGGGACGCUAAUACCGCAUGACAUCCUCUUUUUGAACAGAGAGAGAUCAAAGCCGGGGAUCGCAAGACCCGGCGCUUGAUGAGGGGCCCGCGUCUGAUUAGCUAGUUGGUGGGGUAAUGGCUCACCAAGGCGACGAUCAGUAUCCGGCCUGAGAGGGCGGACGGACACACUGGGACUGAGACACGGCCCAGACUCCUACGGGAGGCAGCAGUGGGGAAUUGUUCACAAUGGGCGCAAGCCUGAUGACGCAACGCCGCGUGGAGGAUGAAGGUCUUCGGAUUGUAAACUCCUGUUGCUCGGGAAGAACAGCUCCGACCUAAUACGUCGGAGUCUGACGGUACCGGGUGAGGAAGCCCCGGCUAACUCUGUGCCAGCAGCCGCGGUAAUACAGAGGGGGCAAGCGUUGUUCGGAAUUACUGGGCGUAAAGGGCGCGUAGGCGGCCUGUUAAGUCGAACGUGAAAUCCCUGGGCUCAACCCAGGAAUUGCGUCCGAUACUGGCAGGCUUGAAUCCGGGAGAGGGAUGUGGAAUUCCAGGUGUAGCGGUGAAAUGCGUAGAUAUCUGGAGGAACACCGGUGGCGAAGGCGGCAUCCUGGACCGGUAUUGACGCUGAGGCGCGAAAGCCAGGGGAGCAAACGGGAUUAGAUACCCCGGUAGUCCUGGCCCUAAACGAUGAAUGCUUGGUGUGGCGGGUAUCGAUCCCUGCCGUGCCGAAGCUAACGCAUUAAGCAUUCCGCCUGGGGAGUACGGUCGCAAGGCUGAAACUCAAAUGAAUUGACGG
rnacentral:rRNA from 1 species